AGUUGGUAGAGCAAUGGACUGAAAAUCCAUGUGUCCGCAGUUCAAAUCUGCGAGGCACCA
rnacentral:tRNA from 1 species